rnacentral:rRNA from 1 species
AGAGACAGCAGCAGCCGCGGUAAUACGUAGGGUGCAAGCGUUAAUCGGAAUUACUGGGCGUAAAGCGUGCGCAGGCGGUUCGCUAAGACAGAUGUGAAAUCCCCGGGCUUAACCUGGGAACUGCAUUUGUGACUGGCGGGCUAGAGUAUGGCAGAGGGGGGUAGAAUUCCACGUGUAGCAGUGAAAUGCGUAGGGAUGUGGAGGAAUACCAAUGGCGAAGGCAGCCCCCUGGGCCAAUACUGACGCUCAUGCACGAAAGCGUGGGGAGCAAACAGGAUUAGAUACCCCUGUAGUCCCUGUCUCUUAUAC